ACGCUGGCGGCGUGCUUAACACAUGCAAGUCGAACGAAAAUACCAAGCUUGCUUGGUUGAUUAGUGGCGAACGGGUGAGUAACACGUGAGUAACCUGCCCCUUACUUUCCUGGAUAACUGCUCGAAAGGGUAGCUAAUACGGGAUAUUCUGACCAUCCUGCAUGGGUUGGUUUGGAAAGGUUGUUUUUCUGGUAAGGGAUGGGCUCGCGGCCUAUCAGCUUGUUGGUGGGGUGAUGGCCUACCAAGGCUUUGACGGGUAGCCGGCCUGAGAGGGUGGACGGUCACACUGGGACUGAGAUACGGCCCAGACUCCUACGGGAGGCAGCAGUGGGGAAUAUUGCACAAUGGGCGCAAGCCUGAUGCAGCGACGCCGCGUGAGGGAUGAAGGCCUUCGGGUUGUAAACCUCUUUCGUCAGGGAACAAGGCACUGCUUUGGUGGUGUUGAGGGUACCUGGAUAAGAAGCGCCGGCUAACUACGUGCCAGCAGCCGCGGUAAUACGUAGGGCGCAAGCGUUGUCCGGAAUUAUUGGGCGUAAAGAGCUCGUAGGCGGCUGGUCGCGUCUGUCGUGAAAACUUCCGGCUCAACCGGGGGCUUGCGGUGGGUACGGGCCGGCUAGAGUGCGGUAGGGGUAACUGGAACUCCUGGUGUAGCGGUGGAAUGCGCAGAUAUCAGGAAGAACACCGAUGGCGAAGGCAGGUUACUGGGCCGUUACUGACGCUGAGGAGCGAAAGCGUGGGGAGCGAACAGGAUUAGAUACCCUGGUAGUCCACGCUGUAAACGUUGGGCACUAGGUGUGUGGCUCCUUUCCGGGGGUUUUGCGCCGUAGCUAACGCAUUAAGUGCCCCGCCUGGGGAGUACGGCCGCAAGGCUAAAAGUCAAAGGAAUUGACGGGGGCCCGCACAAGCGGCG
rnacentral:rRNA from 1 species